rnacentral:rRNA from 1 species
GCUUACGGCCAUACCAGCCUGNNUACGCCCGAUCUCGUCCGAUCUCGGAAGCUAAGCAGAGUCGGGCCUGGUUAGUACUUCGAUGGGAGACCGCCCGGGAAAUACCGGGUGCUGAAAGCC